UUAAGAAUCCUGCGCAAUGGGCGAAAACCUGAUCCAGCCAUGCCGCGUGCAUGAUGAAGGCCUUCGGGUUGUAAAACUCUUUCGCGCCCGACGAUAAUGACGGUAGUGCGAGAAGAAGCUCCGGCUAACUUCGUGCCAGCAGCCGCGGUAAUACGAAGGGGGCUAGCGUUGUUCGGAAUUACUGGGCGUAAAGCGCGCGCAGGCGGUCUUCCAAGUCAGUGGUGAAAGCCCGGAGCUCAACUCCGGAACUGCCAUUGAAACUGUUGGACUUUAGUAUGAGAGAGGUGAGUGGAAUUCCCAGUGUAUAGGUGAAAUUCGUAGAGAUUGGGAAGAACACCGGUGGCGACGGCGGCUCACUGGCUCAUUACUGACGCUCAGGCGCGACAGCGUGGGGAUCAAACA
rnacentral:rRNA from 1 species